AAGCCUAUACUCUCAGGGAUCAUUUCUAUAGCUUGUUGCUAGACAGAUGCUUUUGAAAAUGCUUGGUCUUACCACAGGGAAGAGGUAGAAUGCUUUCUUAGAAUGAAACAGGUAGUUGACUGUACUUGUGUAUUUUUGUACUAUUGAUGACUGCAUGUGCUAGCCUGUUCAGGAUUUAGCAUCGUGAAAAAAGCAUAAUCUGAGUGGU